rnacentral:rRNA from 1 species
GUGUCAGCAGCCGCGGUAAUACGAAGGGGGCUAGCGUUGCUCGGAAUCACUGGGCGUAAAGGGCGCGUAGGCGGAUCUUUAAGUCAGGGGUGAAAGCCUGAGGCUCAACCUCAGAAUUGCCUUUGAUACUGAAGAUCUCGAGACCGGAAGAGGUAAGUGGAACUGCGAGUGUAGAGGUGAAAUUCGUAGAUAUUCGCAAGAACACCAGUGGCGAAGGCGGCUUACUGGUCCGGUUCUGACGCUGAGGCGCGAAAGCGUGGGGAGCAAACAGGAUUAGAUACCCUAGUAGUCC